rnacentral:rRNA from 1 species
GCGUGUAGCAAAUACACGAGUGGCGCACGGGUGAGUAACACGUGGAUAUCUGCCUUUUGGUUCGGAAUAACCCUGGGAAACUAGGGCUAAUACCGAAUGGUUCCUACGGGAUAAAGAUUUAUCGCCAAAAGAUGAGUCCGCGUCCGAUUAGCUAGUUGGUGAGGUAAUGGCUCACCAAGGCGACGAUCGGUAGCUGGUCUGAGAGGACGAUCAGCCACACUGGGACUGAGACACGGCCCAGACUCCUACGGGAGGCAGCAGUGGGGAAUAUUGGACAAUGGGGGCAACCCUGAUCCAGCCAUGCCGCGUGAGUGAUGAAGGCCUUCGGGUUGUAAAGCUCUUUUGGCGGGGACGAUGAUGACGGUACCCGCAGAAUAAGCCCCGGCUAACUUCGUG